GAUGACUGCUAGGUGUUAGGCCCUUUCCGGGGCUUAUUGCCGGAGCUAACGCAUUAAGCACUCCGCCUGGGGAGUACGACCGCAAGGUUGAAACUCAAAGGAAUUGACGGGGGCCCGCACAAGCGGUGGAGCAUGUGGUUUAAUUCAAAGCAACGCGAAAAACCUUACCAGGUCUUGACAUCCUCCUGACCGGUCUAGAGAUAGGCUUUCCCUUCGGGGCAGGAGUGACAGGUGGUGCAUGGUUGUCGUCAGCUCGUGUCGUGAGAUGUUGGGUUAAGUCCCGCAACGAGCGCAACCCCUAUUGUUAGUUGCCAUCAUUAAGUUGGGCACUCUAGCGAGACUGCCGGUAAUAAACCGGAGGAAGGUGGGGAUGACGUCAAAUCAUCAUGCCCCUUAUGACCUGGGCUACACACGUGCUACAAUGGUUGGUACAACGAGUCGCAAGCCGGUGACGGCAAGCUAAUCUCUUAAAGCCAAUCUCAGUUCGGAUUGUAGGCUGCAACUCGCCUACAUGAAGUCGGAAUCGCUAGUAAUCGCGGAUCAGCACGCCGCGGUGAAUACGUUCCCGGGCCUUGUCACACCGCCCGUCACACCACGAGAGUUUGUAACACCCGAAGUCGGUGAGGUAACCUAUUAGGAGCCAGCCGCCUAAGGUGGGAUAGAUGAUUGGGGUGAAGUCGUA
rnacentral:rRNA from 1 species